UGAGGAAUAUUGCACAAUGGGCGCAAGCCUGAUGCAGCAACGCCGCGUGGAGGACGAAGGCCUUCGGGUUGUAAACUCCUUUUCUGGGGGACGAGACAGGACGGUACCCUAGGAAUAAGUCUCGGCUAACUACGUGCCAGCAGCCGCGGUAAAACGUAGGAGGCGAGCGUUAUCCGGAUUUACUGGGCGUAAAGCGCACGCAGGUGGCUCUGCAAGUCGGACAUGAAAGCUCCUGGCUUAACUGGGAGAGGUGGUUCGAAACUGCGGGGCUUGAGGUUGGGAGAGGGACGUGGAAUUCCCGGUGUAGUGGUGGAAUGCGUAGAUAUCGGGAGGAACACCAGUGGCGCAAGCGGCGUCCUGGCCCACACCUGACGCUGAGGUGCGAAAGCGUGGGGAGCAA
rnacentral:rRNA from 1 species